rnacentral:lncRNA from 10 species
AGAGACGGGGUUUCACCAUGUUAGCCAGGAUGGUCUCGAUCUCCUGACUUCGAGAUCCACCCACCUCGGCCUCCCAAAGUGCUGGGAUUACAGGCAUGAGCCACCACACCCGGCGACUCAUUCUUAUACAACUACCUUUGUCAGCAUUCUUGCCAUUGGACUGUCUAGCCCUUGAUGCUGUUAUAUCAUGGCUUGUUGAUACAGAAGAUGCUACAUGAACUCAAGUGGAACUCUGACUGCCUUGAGAGCAUCCCACCAUCCAUUGCUGCUGCAUCAAGGUAUUAAAAAGAGAGACAGAAGGAAGAGAAUGUUUGUCAAAUGUCUUCUUUGGGCACCUCACAGGGCCAGGCACAAGGGGAAGGGGUAUUUGCAGCUGACUUCAAUCCAAAGCUGAAUGUGGAUGUUGGCACCUGCUGCUCCCUCUCUCCAGACAUCUCCCUGUAUCUUUGCUUAUUUGGUUUCAUAUUUAUUGACCAUCAACCACCCCCCAUCCCUGUAGAACGAGAAGCUCAUGAGAACAGGGGUCUUGUUCUCUAGCUUUUGUUUCUCCACCGAGAAGAGUGCCUGGAAACAGAGUCAAUGCUCAAUAAACAUUUAUGGAACAAA